UCCGUAGGUGAACCUGCGGAAGGAUCAUUAACGAGUUUUGAAACGGGUUGUUGCUGGCCUUCCGAGGCAUGUGCACGCCCUGCUCAUCCACUCCACACCUGUGCACUUACUGUAGGUUGGCGUGGGUUUCUGGCCUCCGGGUUGGAAGCAUUCUGCCGGCCUAUGUACACUACAAACUCUUAAAGUAUCAGAAUGUAAACGCGUCUAACGCAUCUUAAUACAACUUUCAGCAACGGAUCUCUUGGCUCUCGCAUCGAUGAAGAACGCAGCGAAAUGCGAUAAGUAAUGUGAAUUGCAGAAUUCAGUGAAUCAUCGAAUCUUUGAACGCACCUUACGCUCCUUGGUAUUCCGAGGAGCAUGCCUGUUUGAGUGUCAUGAAAUUCUCAACCCAUAAAUCCUUGUGAUCUAUGGGCUUGGAUUUGGAGGCUUGCUGGCCCUAGCGGUCGGCUCCUCUUGAAUGCAUUAGCUUGAUUCCGUGCGGAUCGGCUCUCAGUGUGAUAAUUGUUUACGCUGUGACCGUGAAGCGUUUUGGCAAGCUUCUAACCGUCCAUUAGGACAAUUUUAUAACAUCUGACCUCAAAUCAGGUAGGACUACCCGCUGAACUUAAGCAUAUCAAUAAGCGGAGGA
rnacentral:rRNA from 1 species